UGGCGUUCACCCCCCUCUGACCAUGCGCAGGCAUGGGAUUUGCAUUGACAUUGGGAGAUGGCGCGAAAUUGAUGGCCUUUGAAUCCACUAGGUCUUGGACUACGUGCUUAAAAGCUUUGCAGUCCUCCACAUUAUGCCCAGGCGCACCUGAGUGGAAUUCGCACUUGGCAUUUUCAUUAUAACUGGCUGGCCUCUGAUCAGGUCUCAAAGGCGCCAGC
rnacentral:lncRNA from 1 species